GCCUGCAACUCUGUGUUUUUAUUUGAUUGUCGAAUCCAUUCACAUUCAAUGCUAUUAUUUAUAUAGUCGAAUUUAUGUCUGCCAUUUUACUAUUUGUUUUCUAUAUGUCUAAUAUUUUUGUUGUUCCUCUAUUCUUUCUUUUCUGCUUUAUUUUGCAUUAAGUGAAUAUUUUCUUUUUUCUGGAUGUUGUGGUGCAACUUAUAGAAAAAGUAAAGGAAACCCCAACAUGCAUGCACUGCCUUGGUGACCAGGGAAGUCACCCCAUGGCUAUGGGGAAAUUAGCCUGAGGCUUAGCUUUCGUUAUCACUGUCUCCCAGCGUGUGCUUGUCAAAGAGAUAUUCUGCCGAGCCAGAUUCGGGUGCUCCCAUCUUGCACAAGUUGGUCACGUGGCCACCCAAUUCUUUGAUGGCUUUCACCUGCUCAUUCAGGUAAUGUGUCUCAAUGAAGUCACACAAAUGGGGGUCAUUUUUGUCACUGGCCAGUUUGUGCAGUUCCAGUAGUGUGCAUUACAUUUGG
rnacentral:lncRNA from 1 species